GAGCCUAAACCGUCGACAGUAAUACAGUAUGACAGUAGCAAAACCAUCCAUGUCCUUGGAGAUUCAAGCUCGAAUUGAAGUCAUUCCUUCUCACGCUUUCACCUCCUCAGCCCUCAAAUCUUCUUAUUCUUCUUCCUCAUACGGGAUCCAGAAGUUUCUCUGCUUCUUCAAGGAUUCUCAAGAUAACCUAGAGGAUGUUUUCCUGUGAAAAACGUUGUCCAGGCAUGAUGCCAUUAGGGAAUACUGGUCAGCUGGGAUCGAUGCUGAGAAGGACGAUGUGAGAGUUGGCCAAGCAGCUAAAGAACCAUGUUAGAGUAGUGGUCAGCACUGGGGUUCACCUCUUGAUAAUUAUGUCUCAGAGUUCAAGCAUUCAUCAAUAAGUCUGCCACUAACAAUAUGGCUCAGUCAAUUGGAGGACCCAAAUCUGAGAACAGACAGAAGAAGGCUAGGCUUCCUCCAAGACGAGGUCAGAUCAAAGUGAGGAUAAUGUCAAAGCUUGUAAAGCUGGUGGCUAAAGUUGCCUCAGGAAUUGGAAAAGUACUGAGUGGAAAGAAGGUAAUGACUGAGGAAACACUUCUUCCACAGCCUUAAAGCUCAAACCACUUCUGGUCUGGAAGAAAGGCAUUGCAAUGAUGAUAAUUUCAACAUGGUGUUACACCAAUUAUGACUACACAUUAUAUCAUAUCAGUAGUUCUGUUAAGCAAAUCUUGAGAAUUCUUAUGUGGGUUUUUUAUUCUAGCUCAUGCUCAUUAGACUUACUCUCUCUCUUGAGCUAAAAAUAUAUAGUAUGUGGGCUGUAAAAGCUUUGUAAUCAAGAAACUGGUGAGAAUUAUUAUGUGGUACGUUAUUCUAGCUCAUGCUGAUGUAGACUUAGUCUCUCUCUUUCUCUAAAAUGAUGAAGUAGUGUGUGGUCUGUAAAAGCCUUGUAAUCAAGAAACUGGUGUCUAAAUUUAGAAGAAUCUAAAUAUGCUAUUGACAUUUCUUAUUU